UAGGGAAUCUUCCGCAAUGGACGCAAGUCUGACGGAGCAACGCCGCGUGAGUGAAGAAGGAUUUCGGUUCGUAAAACUCUGUUGUUAGAGAAGAACAGCGCAUAGAGUAACUGUUAUGCGUGUGACGGUAUCUAACCAGAAAGCCACGGCUAACUACGUGCCAGCAGCCGCGGUAAUACGUAGGUGGCAAGCGUUGUCCGGAUUUAUUGGGCGUAAAGCGAGCGCAGGCGGUCAAUUAAGUCUGAUGUGAAAGCCCCCGGCUCAACCGGGGAGGGUCAUUGGAAACUGGUUGACUUGAGUGCAGAAGAGGAGAGUGGAAUUCCAUGUGUAGCGGUGAAAUGCGUAGAUAUAUGGAGGAACACCAGGGGCGAAGGCGACUCUCUGGUCUGUAACUGACGCUGAGGCUCGAAAGCGUGGGUAGCAAACAGG
rnacentral:rRNA from 1 species